UGCACCUUAAAGUUGGUUUCCAACCACCAUAUAAAGUCCAAAGAAGAAAAGAAGCCUGAAGGAGGAGAGAUUACUAGAAACAAAAACUUAUCUGUGGAUUAAUUAUAUCCUUUUAUCAUUUGAUUAAUUGUCGGAAGACCUUGUGCAUUUCAGGCUGUUGAAGAAGUAUUUGCAGUAUAUAACGUUUAGGGAAGAAUGACUUCUGAAACGGACCCCAACACUGCUGGUGUUCAAUACAACCGCUGGAAUGAAGACAACAUCAACCUGAAUGUGGCUGGAACAGGUGUAACGGGGCUCUACAACAGGGUCUGCACUGGCACCCUGGGCAUUGCUAUCAAGGUGGCCGGAGCUUUGGCUGCACUAGUGGCUGUUUACAUCAUAGGAUACCUCAUUGGAUAUUACGCCCACAAAUGCUGACCAGCCACUGACCGAAGGACCCUUGUUCAGAGAGGAAGGACCCUCAAUGGAUGGAAUUAUGUUAUGUAUCAAUUAUAUAUGGUUUUUUAAAUGACCAAAUAAUGGCUGUAUGAGAGGAUCAAAGAUUAUUGGAGCCACACUUUCAAUAAUAGUCAGGAUGUUUUGUUUCCUUUUUUAGAAAUGUUGGGAUUGCAGUUUGCUUGUUGUAAUGUGAUUUUACAGCUUCCCCACAGCUUUGUCUUUUAUGUGAAAUGCCAGGGCAAUUAGGCGAUUAAGUCCAAAAAUAUGAACAAAAUGUUUGACUUUUGGUAUUCAAUAUGUUCUUCUCAUUAAGUGAUAUUACAGUGCCUUCAGAAAGUAUUCAUACCCCUUGACCUAUUCCACAUUUUGUAGUGUUACAUUCUGAAUUUAAAAUGGAUUACAUUUUUACCACAUAAUGACAAAGUGAAAACAAGUUUUGACAAAAUUGUGCUCAUUUACUGAAAUACAGAAACAUUUCAUUUAGGUAAGUAUCACACCCCUGAGUCAAUACGUUAGAAUCACCUUUGACAGCGAUGACAGCUGUGAGUCUUUCUGGGUAAGUCUCAAAGAGCUAUGAACAUCUGGAUUGUACAAUAUUUGCACAUUACAAUUUUUUUAAUUCUUCAAGCUCCCUCAAUUUGCUUGUUGAUCAUUUCUAAAUACACUUUGACAUUAUGGGCUAUUGUAUAAGCCAGUGACACAAAAUCUCAAUUUAAUACAUUUUAAAUUCAGGCUAUAACAACAAAAUGUGGAAAACGUCAAGAGGUGUGAAUACUUUGAGGGCACUGUAUUAAUUUCUGUAGUUUUAAGAUUGUACUAUUGGGCAUGUUUUGUAAGCCUAUUCAACUGUGCAUCAAGGUCAUGUGGCUUCAAUAUUUAUAUGAAAGGAAACAGCGAAUACUAAUAGUAA